GACGAACCACACGAACGUUAUUCGGAAUUACUGGGCUUAAAGGGUGCGUAGGCUGUGCAGAAAGUUAGGUGUGAAAUCCCCCGGCUCAACCGGGGAAUUGCGCUUAAAACUACUGUGCUAGAGGAAUACAGAGGUAAGCGGAACUUCGGGUGGAGCGGUGAAAUGCGUUGAUAUCCGAAGGAACACCGGUGGCGAAAGCGGCUUACUGGGUAUUUUCUGACGCUGAGGCACGAAAGCUAGGGGAGCAAACGGG
rnacentral:rRNA from 1 species